rnacentral:lncRNA from 1 species
GAGUCAUCUUCCUCGCAGCCAAUUUGCAGACUCAUCUGCGCAAUCUCUUCCGGUUCAGAAGUGUCCAGAUCUGGCACCGCCUUGCUCCGCCUCGCUUCUCCUGGCCACGCCUUGCAACGCCUCCUCACGCCUUUCCCGCCUUGUUGUACUGAGUCUUGAUUGGAUCUUCUUCGAAACAAAAAAACCAAAGCUUGAUUUGGAAGAGAUGGGGUACAUUGGGGCACAUGGUGUGGUUGCUUUGCAUAAAUAUAAGUAUAGUGGUGUGGAUCACUCCUACACUGCGAAAUAUGUAUUGCAACCCUUUUGGUGUCGCUUCGUUAAAAUAUUUCCCCUUUGGAUGCCG